rnacentral:rRNA from 1 species
GAAGAACGAUGGCGGCGUGCCUAAUAGAUGAAAGUAGAACGCCGAAGGAGGAGCGUGCUUCAAUGGUAGAGUUACGAACGGGUGAGUAACGCGUAGGUAACCUGCCGGGUAGAGGGGGACAACUAUUGGAAACGAUAGCUAAUAACGCAUAACAUUGACUAUAGCAUGAUAGUACGAUGACAGGUGUAACUGCACCACUACCAGACGGAUCUGCGUUGUAUUAGCUAGUAGGUGGGGUAACGGCUCACAAAGGCGACGAUACAUAGCCGACCUGGGAGGGUGAUCGGCCACACUGGGACUGAGACACGGCCCAGACUCCUACGGGAGGCAGCAGUAGGGAAUCUUCGGCAAUGGACGGAAGUCUGACCGAGCAACGCCGCGUGAGUGAAGAAGGUUUUCGGAUCGUAAAGCUCUGUUGUAAGAGAAGAACGAGUGUGAGAGUGGAAAGCUCACACUGUGACGGUAUCUUACCAGAAAGGGACGGCUAACUACGUG